CCCGGAGCUCAACUCCGGUUCGCCUUGAAAACUACAUGACUAGAAUGCAAGAGAGGUAAACGGAAUUCCAUGUGUAGCGGUAAAAUGCGUAGAUAUAUGGAAGAACACCUGUGGCGAAAGCGGUUUACCAGCUUGUUAUUGACGCUGAGGCACGAAAGCGUGGGGAGCAAAUAGGAUUAGAUACCCUAGUAGUCCACGCCGUAAACGUUGAGUACUAGGUGUCGGGAAUUAUCUCGGCGCCGCAGCUAACGCAUUAAGUACUCCGCCUGAGUAGUAUGCACGCAAGUGUGAAACUCAAAGGAAUUGACGGGGACCCGCACAAGUGGUGGAGCAUGUGGUUUAAUUCGAAGCAACACGAAGAACCUUACCAGGGCUUGACAUCCAGUGCAAAGGCAUAGAGAUAUGCUGGAGGCUAACAUUGAGACAGGUGGUGCAUGGUUGUCGUCAGUUCGUGCCGUGAGGUGUUUGGUUAAGUCCAGUAACGAACGCAACCCUUAUUAUUAGUUACUAACAUUAAGUUGAGGACUCUAAUGAGACUGCUAGUGUAAGCUAGAGGAAGGUGGGGAUGACGUCAAAUCAUCAUGCCCCUUAUGUCCUGGGCUACACACGUGCUACAAUGGCUGAUACAAAGAGUCGCAAUCUCGUGAGGAGGAGCUAAUCUCAUAAAAUCAGUCUCAGUUCGGAUUGAAGGCUGCAACUCGCCUUCAUGAAGCCGGAAUCACUAGUAAUCGCGAAUCAGCUAUGUCGCGGUGAAUACGUUCUCGGGUCUUGUACACACC
rnacentral:rRNA from 1 species